GGGCCCGCACAAGCGGUGGAGCAUGUGGUUUAAUUCGAUGCAACGCGAAGAACCUUACCUGGUCUUGACAUACACAGAAUCUUGUAGAGAUACGAGAGUGCCUUCGGGAAUUGUGAUACAGGUGCUGCAUGGCUGUCGUCAGCUCGUGUCGUGAGAUGUUGGGUUAAGUCCCGCAACGAGCGCAACCCUUGUCCUUAGUUACCAGCGGGUUAAGCCGGGAACUCUAAGGAUACUGCCAGUGACAAACUGGAGGAAGGCGGGGACGACGUCAAGUCAUCAUGGCCCUUACGACCAGGGCUACACACGUGCUACAAUGGUAGGUACAGAGGGCAGCUACACAGCGAUGUGAUGCGAAUCUCAAAAAGCCUAUCGUAGUCCGGAUUGCAGUCUGCAACUCGACUGCAUGAAGUCGGAAUCGCUAGUAAUCG
rnacentral:rRNA from 1 species